AGAGUUUGAUCAUGGCUCAGGAUAAACGCUGGCGGCGUGCCUAAUGCAUGCAAGUCGAACGGUGUCCUUCGGGACAUAGUGGCAAACGGGUGAGUAACACGUGGGGAUCUGCCCAGUAGUGGGGAACAACUCCUCGAAAGAGGAGCUAAUACCGCAUACGCUCGAAAGAGUAAAGUCGCAAGACGCUAUUGGAGGAACCU
rnacentral:rRNA from 1 species